rnacentral:rRNA from 1 species
GACGAACGCYGGCGGCGUGCYUWACACAUGCAAGUCGAACGCUGAAGGCCCAGCUUGCUGGGUUGGAUGAGUGGCGAACGGGUGAGUAACACGUGAGUAACCUGCCCCCUUCUUUGGGAUAACGGUCGGAAACGACUGCUAAUACCGGGUAUUCACUGUCCUUCGCAUGGGGGGUGGUGGAAAGGUUUUUUCUGGUGGGGGAUGGGCUCGCGGCCUAUCAGCUUGUUGGUGGGGUGAUGGCUUACCAAGGCUUUGACGGGUAACCGGCCUGAGAGGGUGACCGGUCACAUUGGGACUGAGAUACGGCCCAGACUCCUACGGGAGGCAGCAGUGGGGAAUAUUGCACAAUGGGCGAAAGCCUGAUGCAGCGACGCCGCGUGAGGGAUGGAGGCCUUCGGGUUGUAAACCUCUUUCGCUCAUGGUCAAGCCGCAGCUUUGGGUUGKGGKGAGGGUAGKGGGWAAAGAAGCACC